UGGCAUAGAAGUAUGAUAGGCAAGCCAGGCACAGUAGUGCAAGCCUGUAAUUCCAGCAGCUCCAGAGGAUGAGACAGAAGAAUAGUGAGUUCAAAACCAGGUUCAGCAACUUAGUAAGGCUCUAAGCAACUCAGUGAGACCCUGUCUCUAAAUCAAAUACAAAAACGACUGGGGAUGUGGCUCAGUGGUUAAGUGCCCCUGGGUCUAAUCCCCAGUAACAACAACAAAAAAAAAGUAGUAUGCCUGUCUUGUUACAGCUUGGCAAAGAGACCUGUGUGGCUGCAGAGCAAGCCAGGGAAGAGUAGAAGGGGAUGGAAUAACAGUGCAGUAGCACAUACCUGUAAACCUAGCACCCAAGAGGCUGAGGCAGGAAGAUCGCAAGUUCAAGCCCAGCCUUAACAACUUAGUGAGACCCUGUCUCAAAAUGAUAAUAAUAAGAAAUGGGAAUGUAGCUCAGUGGUAAAGCACCCCUGCGUUAAUUCCCUAGUACCCAAAAAAGGAGGGGGGAUGCACAUGGAAAGCACAUGUAAGUCUUUGAGAAAAAAAUGAUGGAGCUACCCCUGUGCCUUUCUAGGGGAAGAGCAUUCCAGAGAACAAAGCACAUGGAAAAGUUCUGGCAUAGAAGUAUGAUAGGCAAGCUAGGCAAGCCUGUAAUUAGAGAACUAACAAGGUCAAGAUUCCAUGUGGUACAGUUAGCAAUUGAGACUUCUUUGGUGCGGGGGGACAUGGAACUUUUAUUCCAAAUGAUAUAGGAGCCUUUGCAAAGUUUUUGAGAAGAGGUUUGACAACAAAAUAAUAGGACUGCUCUGCUACUCAGUUGAGAAGAACCCAAAGCAGGGAAGGGGGAGAAGAAAGGAGGGAAAUCAGGCUAUUGUGAUAAUCUAGUAUAGAGCUGAUAGCAGCGUGGAACAAAGUGGUAGCAGUGCAGGCUGCUAGAAGUGAUUGAAUUCUGGACAUAUUUUGUAGGUAGAGCCAAAAAUUUGCUGACUGACCAGAUGUGGGGUUUGGCAGAAGAGUCAAAGGUUCCUUAAGCAACUGGAAGGAUGGGGCUGUCACUGAGAUAGGGAAAUCUGCAAGAAAAAUGUGUGUGUGCACAAGUGUAUGAGCAUGCAUCAGCAGAGGAGGCUAUAAGGAGUUCAGUGUUGGACAUGUAAAGACAUAAGACUGAAUGAGAUCGCCAUGAGAAUGAGUACAGAUUGAAGAGAAGACCCACAAUGAUUGAACUCUGGGGUACUCAAGCAUUUAGAAGUGAGACAGGGAAGAAUCAACUAGUAAGAUUCUGAAGCAGAGCUGGGUGUGGUGGUGCACACCUGUAAUCUCAGUGGCUAGGGAGGCCGAGGCAGGAGGAAAGUAAGUUCAAAGCCAGCCUUGGCAACUUAGCAAGGCCCUAAGCAACUUAGUGAGACUCUGUCUCUAAAUAAAGUCUAAAUAUAAAAAGGGCUGUGGAUGUGAUUCAGUGGUUAAGCACCCCUGGGUUCAAUCCCCAGUACCAAAAAUAGAAAAAGAAAAGAAAUUCCGAAGCAUUAGUCUGAAAGGGGAAAAAAAAAAACACAAGCAACUAUGGUGUUCUGGAAACAAAAUGAAGAAAAUACUACAGGCAGGAGUCAACGAAGACAAAUAUUGACAUGUUGGAUAAGAUCAGCUCAGAAAGGUCACCCAUUAUAUGAUUCCCUUUAUAUGAAAUGUUCAAAAUAGAAAAACCCAUACAGAUAGAAAGAUUAGUGCUUACCUAGUGCUGGAGGAGGGGGAGAAUGGAGAAUAGUUGCUAAUGGGUAUGAAUAUCUUUUUGGAUGACAAAAAUGUUCUGGAAGUAGCUGGCUACAGUGACAUGACAGUAAUCCCAGGGACUCAGACUGAGGCAGGAGGAUCACAAGUUGGAGGCCAACCUCAGCAAUUUAAUGAGACCCUCUCUCAAAAAAAGUAAAAAGGGCUGGGAUGUAACUAGGUGGUAGAGCAGCCCUGGGUUAAUCCCCAUUAUAUCACACCCCCCCCCCCAACCCGGCAAAAUGUUCUGGAAUUGGUGAUGUCUGGAAUAUACUAAAAUCCACUAAUGGGUAUGUUUGGGAAUGGUGAUUUGAUGGUAUGUGAACUAUACCUCAAUUUUAAAAUAGAAUAGGAAGCCAGCAUGUAUGAUUUUUGUCAAAAUGAACCCAACUACUAUGUAUAAUUAUAAUGCUAUAAUAAAAAAGAGUAAUAAGGCAGAUAUAUUGGCACAUACCUAUAGUCCCAGCUCUUUGGGAGGCUGGGGCAAGAGAAUCAGAAGUUCCAGGCCAUUCAGGGCAACACAGCAAGAGCUUAUCAGAGCUUAUCUCUUAAAAAAAAAAAAAAAAAGAACAGGAGGUGAGGAAUUGGAAACAAUGAGUACAGACAAAUCUUUCCCAGAGUUCUGUUUUAAAGGGAAGGACAGAAAGCAGUAAUCAUGGGCUGGGGAUGUGGCUUAGUUGGUAGAGUGAGGAUGUAGCUCAGCAGCAGAAUACUUGCCUAGCAUGUACAAGGCCUUAGGUUCCAUCCCCAGAAUUCCAAAAACAAUAAAGCAAGUUUGCCUAGAAAAUAUUAAGAGAAAAAUACCAGAAGUAAACAAUUCAUAAGUUUUAAAUUGUGUAUUAUUCAUAAUGGAAGAUGGGCAUUAUCCCAUUGUCUAACACAUCCACACUAUAUAUUCUACCUGCCCAGUAAUCAGUAGCCUUCUGGGUUAAUAGAUCAACUCUUGCAAUAUUAUAGUACCUAUUUUUGAGUAACCCUUAUUUUACUUACACCACAAGAGCAGUGAUGUUGACAAUUCAGAUAUACCAAAGAAAAUCUGUAAACUGCUUCUUUUAAGUGAAAAAAUGGAAGAUUCUUACUUAGGAAACUUUUAUAGCUUUGUAUCCUGAGGUUAGUAAGAGCUAUAAUAAGAAGGAAUCUUCUAUCCAUGAAACUGUGAAGGAAAAAGCAAUUCAUACUAAUUUUUCUAUCACACCUAAAACUGCAAAAUACUGCUGUGGUAUGUAUAUGUAAUAUGUAUAUAUUUAGAGAAAAAAAUUAGUAUACGUAGGGUUUGGUACUACCUGCAAUUUUAGGUCUCCCUGGGGAUCUCAGAAUGUAUCUCCCACAGAUAAGGGGGGAUUUCUAUAGCACAGAUUGAGCAGAUUAAAUAAUAGAAACUUAUUUUCUCACACAUCUACAGAUUAGAAGUCCAAGAUCAAGAGGUUUGGGAGGUUUGGUUUCUCUUAAGACCCCUAUCCUUUAGAAUCACUCUCCUUAUAUCAGAGAAAAUAUUCGGCAUUUGUUUUUUUUUGGGGGGGGGAUUGGAACUUCACUUAGCAUUAUCUUCUCAACGCCAUCCAUUUACCUACAAAUGCCAUGAUUUUAUUCUCUUUUAUUGCUGAGUAAUAUAUUCCAUUGUAUAUAUAUGCCACAUUUUUAAUCCAUUCAUAGUGGA
rnacentral:lncRNA from 1 species